rnacentral:snRNA from 1 species
CGGCACAUCUGUUAAAAGAUAA